UGAUUGGUCGAAAGGCCUAGCCCUAGAGGACGCUACGAAGUGGACAAGAAGAACCAGUUUUCCCCAGCCCUUGACAGUGUGUUUUGGGUUGUGUUACUCGCAGUGUACGGUCAUCUGAACGUUUUUUUGUCCAUUUUGUGAAGAGACGAGAGGAUCCAGUCUAGUCUGUCGGAAAUUUGUAAUCGGUCACUUUGACGAAUGCUGAAGGUUUUUGACCCCGGAGAGGGUCUGGCAAUAUUUUCUCAUCAUUCAGUGGCUACCUCCAUAUAAAUGAAGCGCUUACGCGUUUCAAUUCAUAAUAAAAGGAAUCUUUGAAGAUAUUUCUGGAAUGGUUCCAUGUCUCUCGCCAAUGUACACAUAUAUCCCAUAUAUCCCAUUAAUUAUCCUGUCGAUCAAGAAUAGUUAAAUUUAAUAUUGUUAACUUUGAUUCGUGAAUAUAUUUUCACUAUAAAGAGGUUUAAAGUCUCCUUGGUGAAGAGUUGUUGUCAAGUUUUGCUUUACAACCUGUUUUCAGUCCCUAUGACUCAGUACCUUUACAGUUCUGAUCUGUUAGCGACCGAAUCCCCGAAUCAUGAUUUUCAUAUAUGAAAUUCCAGUACUGAAUUAAACUGGUCAUAAGCAGUGAAUGAGUGGCUCGGGUCAUGAUCAGUAUUGACAUGAGUGCCUUGCAGUGAAAAAAAAAUUAUCAUUUGAGGUCGUCGUGAAAUUUUAAUGAUAGAAAUCAUUAGUAAAGCAUAAGAAUUAGAAACGUGGGAAGCAAGUAGCACCAAGUGCAAAUAAAAGAAUACGGUUCAUCACAAAAUACAAAUGCCUGAAUCUGUCCUGUCUGUUAAGGUCACAAGGUUAGUUUUCUAUCAACACAGUAAAAGGGCGACCAAUAGCCCCUAGGUUACCAUCAGCUGUUUAAAAGCAGUGAAAUGCAGUAACAAACAGCCGAUUACUGAACUUGACAAGCUGCAAUCAAGAAUUGCAAUAAGUACCUGUCACAGAUUUACGUAAAUGUUAACACUAAAGACAGCAGUCAUCAAGAAUAUAUGAAUUUGAAAAUUUACUAAACUUGUGGCGAGUGCCUGGCAUAAUGCUUUAUGCAAUAAACGCCAUGUUAGUUUUGUUUGAUGCACUCUUAAGGAUUUAAGAUUUGAAAAGUCUGUUCUUUGGUACAUAUUCUUCAUAUCCACAAAAUGUACCGGUUGUGGAUAAUUCUUAAGCAAUGUCGCCACGUGUAAUUUAUGUAUUUGAAGGCAAUAUUCUCAUUAAUAUUAGCUUACUAAGCAGAUGAUAGUUAUUUAAAAUAACUAAUGUAGUAACUUCUGUAGGACCCGGUUUCAUUUAUCUCUUAAGCCAUUGGGCUUAUAGAGAGAACCAGUGAUCGUCCUUUAUUCCUCGUGAUUUAGGUGUUGUCGUCUUGUUGUUUGAGAUUAAGCUGGCCUUAAGCCAGCACGGGAUCUUAAUCAUAGAGCAGCCCGUAGUUGUCUUUUUUUCGACAGAGUACCUUACGAGUUUUACGUACCCGGGUGCAUUUAUAUUCCUCUAUCUUGUUUUAAGGCUGAAGUCUUCGGGUAAGCCUCAUCCUUUGUCUUCGAAAUAAUGUCAAGUGAAACCCAGCUCUGUCAAUAUUUGCAGCAAAAACUUUUAUCCAAUGUGUAAUUUGGUUUAAACUUGCCCACAGCUUUUGUACAAAAAUACAUGUAAUUUAUUUUUCUGUAUAAAAUUGUUUUGUCUGUCAUAUUUUCUCACGAAGUUUGUUAUAUUUUCUCACGCAGUUUUUUUUAAUAUUUUCUCACGCAGUUCUUUCUAUAUUUUCUCACGCAGUUUGUGUUGACUUGAGUGGGGUAACUUCGCUGUUAUAUGUUGUGUGUAUGACUGUUUUAGAUAAAAUGUCUUUACAGGCUUUUGGAAUGUAAUUUAAAGCUAGUUUGCAUAAUGGCUUAUCUGUUGUUGGGUGGUCUUAAGGACCAAGACAAGCAAUAUUUCUCGGGAGCUAAUCUUUGUUUUGGUUUCCGAGCUAACGUGUGAGACGGCGGUGAAAUGGUCGUCGGUGAAUUCUGGGACUGUAGCUUCAGGUAUAUUCACCCGUGCAACCCUUAUGGACACCGUGAGUGCUGGGCUGCGAUGAAGAGCGCUAAGCAGACGUGCUGAGAGGAAGACAGAUUUAUUACAAAUGGAUCCUGUCGACGUUUGUGCUUUGAUUCCGAAAAUGGCUCUUCACUAAAUACAGGCUCUCCCUCUCUCUCUCCAUCUCUGGACUUUGCAUCCUGCACGGAGCGUAUGAUCGAUAGAAAACCCAUCACUUAAGCCAUUCAUGCUUCGCCCUUUAGCUAAGAGUUCGGCGAGUGUUAGUGUUAUAGUUGGAUUGUAUCGGUCAGUCUUAGCCCGUUAUACGGAUGGUGUUUCCGCUGGU